rnacentral:rRNA from 1 species
GAGCGAGAAAGUGGCUUCGGCCAUCAGUAAAGCGGCGGACGGGUGAGUAAUACGUAGGUAAUCUUCCUUCGAGCGGGGGACAACGUUCCGAAAGGGACGCUAAUACCGCAUACGUUUCCUUGGUGUCUGCACCGAGGAAGGAAAGCUAGGUAGCAAUAUCCGGCACUCGAUGAGGAGCCUGCGUCGCAUCAGCUAGUUGGUGGGGUAACGGCCUACCAAGGCGAAGACGCGUAGCUGGUCUGAGAGGAUGAUCAGCCACACUGGGACUGAGACACGGCCCAGACUCCUACGGGAGGCAGCAGUGGGGAAUAUUGGACAAUGGGCGCAAGCCUGAUCCAGCCACGCCGCGUGAGUGAUGAAGGCCUUCGGGUCGUAAAGCUCUGUGGGGAGGGACGAACCGCUGCACGUUCAUAUCGUGCAGCAUGACGGUACCUCCUUNAGCAACACCGGCUAACUUCGUG